rnacentral:rRNA from 1 species
GACGAACGCUGGCGGCGUGCCUAAUACAUGCAAGUAGGACGCAGUUGCGACCGGGUGAGUAACGCGUAGGUAACUACCUAUUAGAGGGGGGAAACUAUUGGAAACGAUAGCCAAUACCGCAUACUAGUAGAUGGACCUGCGUUGUAUUAGCUAGUAGGUUGGGUAAUGGCCUACCUAGGCAACGAGACACAGCCGAACUGGGAGGGGGAUCGGCCAACCUGGGACCGAGACACGGCCCAGACUCCGACGGGAGGCAGCAGUAGGGAAUCUUCGGCAAUGGGGGGAACCCUGACCGAGCAACGCCGCGUGAGUGAAGAAGGUUUUCGGAUCGUAAAGCUCUGUUGUUAAGGAAGCGGUACUUAACCAGAAAGGGACGGCUAACUACGUGCCAGCAGCCGCGGUAAUUC